UUGCAUGGCUGUCGUCAGCUCGUGUCGUGAGAUGUCGGUUAAGUCCGCUAACGAGCGCAACCCUCGCUGUGUGUUAUAUGUGUCACACAGGACUGCUGGUAUUAAGCCGGAGGAAGGUGGGGGCGACGUCAAGUCAGCAUGACCUUUAUAUCCAGGGCUACACACACGCUACAAUGGUCAGUACAAUGGGUUGCCAAGCCGCGAGGCGGAGCCAAUCCUAAAAAGCUGGCCUCAGUUCAGAUUGCAGUCUGAAACUCGACUGCAUGAAGUCGGAGUUGCUAGUAAACGCAGGUCAGCUAUACUGCGUUGAAUACGUUCCCGGGGCUU
rnacentral:rRNA from 1 species